rnacentral:rRNA from 1 species
CCUACGGGUGGUGCAGUGGGGAAUAUUGGACAAUGGGCGAAAGCCUGAUCCAGCCAUGCCGCGUGUGUGAAGAAGGCCUUCGGGUUGUAAAGCACUUUCAGUGGGGAAGAAAGCCUUGGGGCUAAUACCCUCGAGGAAGGACAUCACCCACAGAAGAAGCACCGGCUAACUCCGUGCCAGCAGCCGCGGUAAUACGGAGGGUGCGAGCGUUAAUCGGAAUUACUGGGCGUAAAGCGCGCGUAGGCGGUCUGAUAAGCCGGUUGUGAAAGCCCCGGGCUCAACCUGGGAACGGCAUCCGGAACUGUCAGGCUAGAGUGCAGGAGAGGAAGGUAGAAUUCCCGGUGUAGCGGUGAAAUGCGUAGAGAUCGGGAGGAAUACCAGUGGCGAAGGCGGCCUUCUGGACUGACACUGACGCUGAGGUGCGAAAGCGUGGGUAGCAAACAGGAUUAGAUACCCCUGUAGUC